GACAGAGGGGGCAAGCGUUGCUCGGAAUUAUUGGGCGUAAAGCGCGCGCAGGCGGUCCUUUAAGUCUGAUGUGAAAGCCCACGGCUCAACCGUGGAGGGUCAUUGGAAACUGGGGGACUUGAGUACAGAAGAGGAAAGCGGAAUUCCAAGUGUAGCGGUGAAAUGCGUAGAGAUUUGGAGGAACACCAGUGGCGAAGGCGGUUUUCUGGUCUGUAACUGACGCUGAGGCGCGAAAGCGUGGGGAGCAAACAGG
rnacentral:rRNA from 1 species